CUUCUUUCGGCUGCUCCCGUUAGGGGUUGCCACAGUGGAUCAUCUUCUUCCAUAUCUUCCUGUCCUCGUCCUAUUGCUCUGUCACCCCCAUCACCUGCAUGUCCUCUCUCACCACAUCUAUAAACCUUCUGUUAGGCCUUCCUCUUCUCCUCUUCCCUGGCAGCUCUAUCCUUAGCAUCCUUCUCCCAAUAUACCCAGCAUCUCUCCUCUGCACAUUGCAAUCUCGCCUCUCUGACUUUGUCUCCCAACCAUCCAACUUGAGCUGACCCUCUAAUGUCCUCAUUUCUAAUCCUGUCCAUCCUCGUCACACCCAAUGCAAAUCUUAACAUCUUUAACUCUGCCACCUCCAGCUCUGUCUCCUGUGCCACCGUCUCCAACCCAUAUAACAUAGCUGGUCUCACGACCGUCCUGUAGACCUUCCCUUUCACUCUUGCUGAUACCCGUCUGUCACAAAUCACUCCUGACACUCUUCUCCACCCACUCCACCCUGCCUGCACUCUCUUCUUCACUUCUCUUCCACGCUCCCCAUUACUCUGUACUGUUGAUCCCAAGUAUUUAAACUCAUCCACCUUCACCAACUCUACUCCCUGCAUCCUCACCACUCCACUGACCUCCCUCUCAUUCACACACAUGUAUUCUGUCUUGGUGGUCCUACUGACCUUCAUUCCUCUCCUCUCAUAUCUCCACCUCUCCAGGGUCUCCUCAACCUGCUCCCUUCAAACAUCACAGUCCACGGGGACUCCUGUCUAAUCUCGUCUGUCAGCCUGUCCAUCACCAUUGGAGAUAAGAAAGGGCUCAGAGCCGAUCCCUGAUGUAAUCCCACCUCCGUCACUCCUACCGCAGACCUCACCACCGUCACACUUCCCUCAUACAUAUCCUGUACAACUCUUAUGUACUUCUCU